UUUCGCUUCGCCGGCACAUAUACUAAAGUUGGAACUAUACAGAGAAGGUUAGCAUGGCCCCUGCAUAAAGAUGACGUGCAGAUUUGUGAAGCAUUCCAUAUUUUU